rnacentral:lncRNA from 1 species
CUCAGCCCAAAAGGCUGGUUUCACUUUCACUGUGCUCCCUCAACAGCACCAAGUUUAUUUCCAGGCAGUGGGUGAGCAGGGCUGAAAAGCUGCCCCAGGCUACCAGCCUCCCAGCUGAGAAAGCAAGCAGGGCUUUUAGAUUUCACCUCUCCCCACCUACCAUGGCUUCUGUGCUGUGAUUGCACUCCUGAUUCAACCCCUCCCCUGAUUUCUGUCGGGGAAACUUUGCAUUCGGUCGAAAUUGUUACAAAGUUCAGCUGGAAGUUUCCUUCCCUGUGUGGUUUCUUCCCGGUUCCUCUGGCAGCCCUCCCCAAGGACUUCUGUAAGACAAAGUCGGAAGUUACUUCCUUGGGGACCGAGAGCCCACAGGGGUCUUCCUACUGCUUCUUCUACCCCUGUAUUUCACUCAGCUCUCUAAAUUUGUCUCAGCUCCAGGAAGGCAGGGAUUUCAACCUGGGCAACAAGUCCACAGAACAUGAGAUUUCUGAAGGUGUGUGGGAUACAUCAUGGUUACAUAAAAAUCCUUUCACUAUAGUUCCUGCUUCCCUAUCUUCAAAAUGAUUCCCUGAAGACUUCCGCCAUGACGGUCUAAAGCCUAACCUCUGAACUGUGGAUGGAAAAUUGAACUCCUUGAUGUGAUCUCUGCACAUCAUGCAACCCUAAACCUAAAUAUAUUCUCUGUGUGGGAGCCCCAUUAUUUUUAGUCUAAUACAUUUUAAGUCAUCUUAAAAAAUUAUAUUUUGUUUUCUUUUA